AUGAACGAACUCUAAUUUGACGAUACUUUUUUCUGCUGAUUCUGAUCAAAUUUGUUACUGCUAACCGAACCUGCUUAUGCAUCUUUCAUCAGUCACCAUUCACCUCGUAUGAUCUGUAGUUCAUCGAGCACUUUGCAUUUGAAUUGUAAAACUAAAACCGAGCCUGCUGAACCUUUUGCAGCUUAUAAGAACCGCUGCCUCCGGUGUAUGCACAUGAUCUUACUCCAACCUUUUGCAGCUUAUCAGCUUCUAUUUUCUGUUGCAGGAGAGUUUAGUUUAUGUUGAGUCAUGCUGCUUGUUUGCUAUGCUGAUAUCAAGUGCAGUUUUCCAACCAUGCCUACACAAAUUAGGAACGUCUAGGCUCUACUUCUGUUUUGUUACAAUGCUUAUCUAAUAAACAUCACUUACUUCUGGUGAAUUGGUUGUACAUUCUAAUUUCAGAUACUAUCAUGAUUUGUUUGGCAAAGAAUACUGGGUGUGUGGUACUCAAUUCCCGACUAUGCCCACAUAUCUCCAUAGUGGCAAGAUCUUGUUUUUAGAGGAUCGACAUCACGGAGAUAAGAAAUCAUCCCUGUUUCAGGGAGAACCACCCAGCUGACCUAAUGGAGCAAUGGACGACAACACAGUGUGUGACCGGUAUGAGGAGCCAUGGAUGAGAUAUGCAUAUUUUAUACUGGCUGAGCCGAUCACACUAGCAAACAUAUCUUUUUAUACAUAGAAAUAUUUUUAUUCAGUUUAUUUUAGUAUCAUCAAGCAUCUCUCAACUAUGUGAUUGUUUCAUC